rnacentral:rRNA from 1 species
GACGAACGCUGGCGGCGUGCUUAACACAUGCAAGUCGAACGCAGUGGCGAACGGGUGAGUAACACGUGAGGAACCUGCCUUUCACAGGGGAAUAACACUGGGAAACCAGUGCUAAUACCGCAUAGUGAAAGAUGGCCUCGCGCCUGAUUAGCUAGUAGGUGAGGUAACGGCUCACCUAGGUGAUGUUCAGUAGCCGGACUGAAGGUUGAUCGGCCGCAUUGGGACUGAGACACGGCCCAGACUCCUACGGGAGGCAGCAGUGGGGAAUAUUGGGCAAUGGCGCAAGCCGACCCAGCAACGCCGCGUGAAGGAAGACGGUCUUCGGAUUGUAAACUUCUUUAGACAGGGACGCGGUACCUGUAGAAUAAGCCACGGCUAACUACGUGCCAGCCGCCGCGGUAAUUC